rnacentral:lncRNA from 1 species
UGCGUUCAGUAUUGCACGACAAAGCAAAAGUUCCAGCGCGAGCCCUAAAGCUGUAUUAUAUAAUAUGUUGAUUGCAGCGACCGAAAUGCAGUCCUGAAAGCCACACUUCGUGAUUAGUAACGGGACUAACUGGAGAAACUGAAAGUUUGCUGUGCUAGCUGCCAAGUCUUGGUCGUCCAUGACGCCUCCCGUGGGCCAACAGCGGUCAGCGCCCUCCAGGGACUGGGGCUUCCUCUACUGCCUACCCAGCCAGAACACACAUGCGCUAAGGCGGAGCUCUGGGUGAGCUCCCUGCUGCUCUACCAUCACUGGCUGGCCCUCUCCCACAAAACCCAGUUUUGUUCACAUUCAUGCUUAGCUAAAACCUCUCCAUCCUGUCAACGCGCCUUCAUCAUCCAGGAUUGACGCACCUUUGGGCUCCGGAACCCAUCCCUCCUAUGUGAAGAAGGCAAGUACAGCACAAAUGUAAUACAAAGCCCAGUGCCAAAGCUCGGUCGAGAAAGGUGGCGGCGCUUGCAGCUUGCAGCACACGCGACUUCUUUCUUACAAACCAAUCGCCUCAAAUAUGAAUAUCAUCGUGCAUAUGGAUGUGGGUUGCCCUCAAAAAACCCGUUACAGAAUUCACCCACGCGCCCCUUGCUCCCCUGCGUCCCCCUCACCCAGCCAGCCAGCCUCCCUUUUAAACCAUCGGACUGAACUUCCCUUAUCCCUUUGCACCACCAUCUCCAUCACUAUCAUUAACAGGCUCUCGAUGUUCUCACCAAGUUCAGCAAUACGGGUCGCUCACCCAUACCCCCGAUCACCUACGUGCCGCCACCGACCGCUCAGUCUUCUGCACAGCAGCAGCAGCAACCGGCGGCGGCAGCAGCAGCAGCAGCACCGGGGGGGUGAGUGUCAUCGGGCACUGUCGGUCGGGCGAGUGGCCGUUCUGUUGUGGAGUGGCACACUUCGGUCUGUCGGUCUUGCAUGUCCGUCUGGCAGUUUGUAUGUAGAUAUGUAGAUAUGUAUGUAUGUAGAUAUGUAUGUAUGCCUAUUUGGUAUGAGAGAGGAGAGUGUAAUGGUGGGGCAAGCAGGGGACUGUCUGGAAGUGCCGUACAUCAUGUAGGGCACUGCUUGAGCUAGUCCCAUGAAAUACCGCCUAGGUGAUACACUCCAACACCGCCACAGUAUCAGCCCCCCCCUUCCAACCCAAUCGUCUGGUGCUGCCAACCAAAUUAGGCCCUUUGAUUAUGUUGUACGCCAUCUGUACAACAUUAUUACCGUACUCGAUAGCAUGUGGUGUAAUCAGACUCUGUGACUCCCGACCACCUCCACGUCCCAGGUCACUUGCUGCCCCCGGGUCCGGACCGCCACCUCGCUCCUGGCAAGGCCCUCCCCCCGGCCCCGG